rnacentral:rRNA from 1 species
GACGAACGCUGGCGGCGUGCUUAACACAUGCAAGUCGAACGGAAAGGCCCUGCUUUUGUGGGGUGCUCGAGCGGCGAACGGGUGAGUAACACGUGAGUAACCUGCCCUUGACUUUGGGAUAACUUCAGGAAACUGGGGCUAAUACCGGAUAGGAGCUCCUGCUGCAUGGUGGGGGUUGGAAAGUUUCGGCGGUUGGGGAUGGACUCGCGGCUUAUCAGCUUGUUGGUGGGGUAGUGGCUUACCAAGGCUUUGACGGGUAGCCGGCCUGAGAGGGUGACCGGCCACAUUGGGACUGAGAUACGGCCCAGACUCCUACGGGAGGCAGCAGUGGGGAAUAUUGCACAAUGGGCGGAAGCCUGAUGCAGCAACGCCGCGUGCGGGAUGACGGCCUUCGGGUUGUAAACCGCUUUCGCCUGUGACGAAGCGUGAGUGACGGUAAUGGGUAAAGAAGCACCGGCUAGCUACGUG